rnacentral:rRNA from 1 species
AUACGGAGGGUGCAAGCGUUAUCCGGAAUCACUGGGUUUAAAGGGUGCGUAGGCGGCAUGAUAAGUCAGAGGUGAAAGCCCUCAGCUUAACUGAGGAAUUGCCUUUGAUACUGUUGUGCUUGAAAGGGGAUGAGGUGAGCGGAAUGUGACAUGUAACGGUGAAAUGUGUAGAUAUGCCAUAGAACACCGAUUGCGAAGGCAGCUCACUAAACUAUUACUGACGCUCAGGGACGAAAGCGUGGGGAGCGAACAGGAUUAGAUACCCUAGUAGUCC